GACGGGAGGAUGCAAGUGUUAUCCGGAAUCACUGGGCGUAAAGCGUCUGUAGGUGGUUCGAAAAGUCCACUGUUAAAAAUUGACGGCUUAACUUCGAAAGAUGCCGUGGAAACUUUCAAACUAGAGUAUGGUAGGGGUAGGAGGGAAAUUCCCGAGUGUAGCGGUGGAAAUGCGUAGGAGAAUUGGGAAGAACACCGGUGGCGAAAGCGCUGACUACCGUGGGGCCUAGCACUGACACCUGAGGGACGAAAGCUAGGGGAGCGAAAGGG
rnacentral:rRNA from 1 species